rnacentral:rRNA from 1 species
AAGUCGUAACAAGGUUUCCGUAGGUGAACCUGCGGAAGGAUCAUUAUCGAACGAACAAGAAAAGUCUUGGAAGAGGUGAAGGUGGGAUUGUCGCUGGCCAACUUGUGGGUGAUUCCGCUGGCACGUGCAUGUGCACGUCCCCCCUUUGCUUGUUUCAUCUCUUUUUCUCUACACCCGUGCACUCAUUGUAGGUCCUCGAGAGAGGAUCUAUGUUUUCCAUCCACCAUAAAGUAUGUUUGUAGAAGGUCAUGAUAAAUUUAUACAACUUUCAGCAAUGGAUCUCUUGGUUCUCGCAUCGAUGAAGAACGCAGCGAAUUGCGAUAAGUAAUGUGAAUUGCAGAUUUUCAGUGAAUCAUCGAAUCUUUGAACGCACCUUGCGCUCCUUGGUAUUCCGAGGAGCAUGCCUGUUUGAGUGUCAUUUAAUUCUCAACCAUGUCUCGAUCGAUUUCGAGCCAUGGCUUGGAGUGUGGGGGGUUUGCUGGCCUUUCUCUAGGUCAGCUCUCCUGAAAUGCAUUAGCGAUCUGGCGAGCUUGGUCCUGGAGCGCACGGCCUUUCGACGUGAUAAUGAUCGUCGUGGGGCUGGAACUUUGGACCUUGCACAAAGCGAGUUCGCUUCCAACUUCAUGUGGAAGUCAUGCAUGCAUGUGCUGGCGAGGCCAUGUGUGUGUUGUACGCCA